GACCACUGAAUUCAAUGCAUGUUAUACGCCUUAGGGCUGUUGAAGAUCCCAAUGGAGAAAUAGCAUCUUUGAGAGAUGACACCAUGCUGCCUGGUUCUAAGGAAGUUCCAAAAAUACCUUCUUCUCUUCAGGUAAGGUAUCUGUGUUGGGUGAAAACAGCUACUUGUGUUGAUAUUUCAGAACAUCUUUUGGAGGCCUUUAACAUUGGCAAAUAUGAGUUUUGGAACUUUCUUUCAGAAGCAAAACAAGUUUUUUUUUUUUUGGUUGGUUGGUUGGUUGGUUUACUUGUUUUUUCUAUAAAUGUGUUAAGACUUAAGAUAUCACCAUUUAGCAUGUGUUGUUUGAUAUUCAUAAUCCUAACAGGUGCUAGCAAAUAUGGCUGCGAAUAG
rnacentral:lncRNA from 1 species